UACAAACACUUCUCUUUGCGGUAUUUCAUAGCUCCAGGUUAAGAAAAUAACAUAUAAAAAUAAAAACUUAGCACUGCAUACUAUAUAUAAAAUCUCAGAACGUAAAUACACGUUAAAGUGAACAACAAAUAACAAACAAUCGAGUAUUUAGUAAUUACUUUCACCAACAGAGAGCGCUGCAAGCUAAACUGAUCAUUAGUUCGCACGCCACUAUUUCCAGCCUCGAACCAGGAGGAGAGCGGGAGCACUGCAGGCAAAAGUUAUCAGAAGACGGUUGCUGGCUUCAAGAUGUUGAGUUGCAUAUCAUGAAUCACCAAUGUCCAUGGUUUCAGCCUAAAAUCUUCUUUAAUGUUCUGCCGAAUGAAAAAAGAAAUGGAUGGCCACAGGACUGGAAAACAGUCAUCUAUCUGAAUGCAGAUCUCAUACUGUGGCCGCAGGACUCCAGACAGCAACAAUAUAUCAAUGACACAGCAGACAUCUGAAGUGAAAAACGUUUCAUCAUUUGCUUUUUUCAGGAAUGAUUAAGACACAAAGCUUAGCAAGUGAAAUGGCUUUCUGCACAGCAAAACCCCUCGGGUUCUCUGAACCGCCUGCACGUAUGCUCUGGAUUGGCAAGUGGUGCGCUAUGAAAGUAUUUAGGUUUUGUAAGGUUAUAGGGUUUGAAAGUAUAGGUUUUGUAAUUCAAAAUGAGGUGGAAGUUGUUUUGAUGACUUGUCAUAUCCAAUCAUUUUGAGGCACCACUGAAGGAGCAUAACGAUCAGAGAAACAGAGGAAACAGGGACAAACUAACACCAUGGCAUAUGCAAUGUGUGUGUGUGUGUGUGUGUGUGUGUGUGUUUCAGACACAGAGACACAAGCACAAAGUCAGUCUAUAGUUCUGAUUCACAGUUCACUCCUGUUAGGCAGGUGUCAAGAAAUAUCACAAGGAAAAGAGGAAGCAGUCAGGGAGAAUUAAAGACAGACACUCGGACACACCAAAGAGAAAGUUUCAUCAUGCUGAAAGAUGGAGGAAUGGUUAGGAUGUACGUGCCAAAAUGACUUUAAGUACAAUGAUGACAUUAACAAAAUCUGCAAAAAAUCAUCUUAAUCAGAAUUUUAGCCUUGUUUGAGAAUUAAAUAAAACAAACAUCAUUAACUUCUAAUUUAAAAAUAAUAUUAUAAAUAAAUAUAUAUAUAUAAUUAUGUCAUUUUGUUAAAAACUGCCAAGAUUCAUAUUGUUUUACUGUAUUCUUAGCUAAUAAUAUAGAAUUAUAUGACAUGAAUUUAAUUCAUAUAGAAUUUAAUGACAUGAAUAUAUAUAUAUAUGGACCCUGGACCACAAAACCAGUCAUAUGCACAGCUAGUGUUUUUCAGCCAACAAUAAACUUCUGUUGAAAGCUCAAUGUGACUAUUUUCAAUGGUCACAUAUUACAAUUAGUUAAUGUUAAUUAAUGCAUUUACCAACAUGAACAAACAAUGAACAAUACAUUUACUACUGUAUUUUUCAUGUUAGUUAACGUUAGUUAAUGAAUAUACAGUAGUUCAUUAUUAGUUCAUGUUAACUCACAGUGCAUUAACUAAUGUUAACAAGCAUGGACUUGGAUGUUAAUAAUGCAUUAGUAAAUGUUCAAUUAUGAUUAAUAAAUACUGUACAAGUGUUGUUCAUGAUUAGUUCAUUUUAGUAAAUGCAUUAACUAAUGAACCUUAUUGUAAAGUAUUACCUUUUCAAUUUUAUAAGGUUUCUUUUACAGCAUCAAUGUUGUGAUGUAAUUAUUCAGUUAAAUAUACUUGAGCAUUUAUUUAGUUAGUCAAGCGUAAAACGAUACGAAAGACCGUGUAACCGCUAACGGCAUCAGGAUCAACAGGCAAGUGC
ensembl:lincRNA